GAGGUUUUGGGACAAUAGAGUCAACUGCACACUCUCAUGGCUCUUCUCUUUUUUUCUGCUUUCAGUGUGUUCUUUGAACUUUUUAGAAACUUCCCCAGGGGUCUUCUCGUCUGGUCUUCGUUUAACACUGCUCCAUCUCAUGGCGUUCUACGUUUUGCAGGUUGUAGUGCUUGAGAUCCAGCCUUCCCAAAUGAUUUCUCUGAAUUUAGCAUUUGGUGUGCGUUUUGCUAUCUUGCUGCCAUCCUAGCCCCAGCAGAGAAAAGACUUACCUGGAGUAUGCACAGGGCUUCAGAGAAUACCCUAAGCUUCCUGACUCCUGAAUUUACAGAGCUCUGCCAAACCUGGUCUUGCGAGACUGAGAAAUGCGCUAACAAGCCAUCCUCUUCGGUGU